rnacentral:rRNA from 1 species
UACAGAGGUCUCAAGCGUUGUUCGGAUUCAUUGGGCGUAAAGGGUGCGUAGGCGGCGCGGUAAGUCGGGUGUGAAAUCUCGGAGCUUAACUCCGAAACUGCAUUCGAUACUGCCGUGCUUGAGGACUGGAGAGGAGACUGGAAUUUACGGUGUAGCGGUGAAAUGCGUAGAUAUCAGGAGGAACACCAAUUGCGAAGGCAGCUCGCUGGGACGUUACUGACGCUGAGACGCGAAAGCGUGGGGAGCGAACAGG